GCCAUUGCUCAGGGGUGGAGCAUCUGCCUUGCAAACAGAAGCUCCCAGGUUCAAUCCCUGGCAUCUCCA